rnacentral:rRNA from 1 species
UACGGAGGAUGCAAGCGUUAUCCGGAUUCAUUGGGUUUAAAGGGUGCGCAGGCGGAAUGAUAAGUCAGUGGUGAAAUCCUACAGCUUAACUGUAGAACUGCCAUUGAUACUGUCGUUCUUGAGUACAGUUGGAGUGGGCGGAAUGUGUCAUGUAGCGGUGAAAUGCUUAGAUAUGACACAGAACACCAGUCGCGAAGGCAGCUCGCUAAACUGUAACUGACGCUCAUGCACGAAAGCGUGGGGAUCAAACAGG